GUGGAAUGUGUCUCAUUAGAUAUGUAAAAUGUCGGUAACACUUUAUGUGAUGGGUUGUGAACAAGACGGUCAUGACACCGUCAUAAACAUGACAUAACACCUUGUCAUGAACACAAGUGAGUCUUCAUCAAUAUUUAUGACUGUUGUCAUAAAGUGUCAUUCGGUAAAUCAU